AUUGAACGCUGGCGGCAGGCCUAACACAUGCAAGUCGAACGGUAACAGAAAGCAGCUUGCUGCUUUGCUGACGAGUGGCGGACGGGUGAGUAAUGUCUGGGAAACUGCCUGAUGGAGGGGGAUUACUACUGGAAACGGUAGCUAAUACCGCAUAACGUCGCAAGCCCAAAGGGGGGGACCUUCGGGCCUCUUGCCAUCGGAUGUGCCCAGAUGGGAUUCGCUUGUUGGUGGGGUAACGGCUCACCAAGGCGACCAUCCCUAGCUGGUCUGAGAGGAUGACCAGCCACACUAGAACUGAGACACGGUCCAGACUCCUACGGGAGGCAGCAGUGGGGAAUAUUGCACAAUGGGCGCAAGCCUGAUGCAGCCAUGCCGCGUGUAUGAAGAAGGCCUUCGGGUUGUAAAGUACUUUCAGCGGGGAGGAAGGGAGUAAAGUUAAUACCUUUGCUCAUUGACGUUACCCGCAGAAGAAGCACCGGCUAACUCCGUG
rnacentral:rRNA from 1 species